rnacentral:rRNA from 1 species
AUCUACAGCCAUACCACCCUAAAUGCACUCUAUCUUGUCUGAUCUUGGAAGCUAAGCAGGGUCCGGUCUGGUGAAUACAUGGAUGGGAGAAGUCAAAUGAAUUGGUCAAGGACAUGUAGUUG